UACGGAAGGCAGCAGUGGGGAAUAUUGCACAAUGGGCGCAAGCCUGAUGCAGCCAUGCCGCGUGUAUGAAAAAGGCCUUCGGGUUGUAAAGUACUUUCAGUCGUGAGGAAGGUGUUAAGGUUAAUAACCUUAGCAAUUGACGUUAGCGACAGAAGAAGCACCGGCUAACUCCGUGCCGGCAGCCGCGGUAAUACGGAGGGUGCGAGCGUUAAUCGGAAUUACUGGGCGUAAAGGGCACGCAGGCGGUUAAUUAAGUUGGAUGUGAAAUCCCCGGGCUUAACCUGGGAAUGGCAUUCAAGACUGGUUAGCUAGAGUCUUGUAGAGGGGGUAGAAUUCCAUGUGUAGCGGUGAAAUGCGUAGAGAUGUGGAGGAAUACCGGUGGCGAAGGCGGCCCCUGGACAAAGACUGACGCUCAUGUGCGAAAGCGUGGGGAGCAAACAGGGAUUAGAUACC
rnacentral:rRNA from 1 species